AGGAGUGUAGCUCAGCUGGUAGAGCAGCGGUCUCCAAAACCGCCGGUCGCGGGUUCGAGUCCUGCCACUCCUG
rnacentral:tRNA from 1 species